rnacentral:tRNA from 1 species
UCCGGAUUAGUAAAAAUUAUUAUACUACUUUGAUAUGGUAGAGUUGCUUUAUGGCAUUCGGUA